GAGUUGACGAAAAAGAUGUGGCCCGUGGUACUUGGCUAGGAAUGGAUGCACAUGGAAAAGUCGGAAUGUUGCUUUCAAUCACCCAACCUGUCGACUCAAAACACAAAAAUGCGCCUAGCAGAGGCUAGUUGGCGCAUCUCUCGAUAACGCGCAAAUUUCCGAUUUUCAGGUGGAAUUGUCAAUGAAUACUUGAAAAGUGGCACGGAUACAACUAAAUUUUACGAAAAUUUGCGAGAAAAUGCGGAAAAAUUCAAUGGUUUUCAGUUUGUUGGAGUUGAAAAG
rnacentral:sRNA from 1 species